GCCGGCUGAGGGUACUGCUAACCUGGCCGGGCCAGGCUCUAGGGUGGAGAGGGUGAAAGUGCCAAUCGUGGGGCCGAGGGCCUCGCGGGACCACGCGCCCUCCGCAACCCAGGUACAAGGGCUUUCCCGACGCGAAGAGGAAUCUCACUCUUGUCUGCGGGAAGCCGCUGGCUGUGCGUCUGGGCUUCAUCAUCACCUUCGAGGUGAAACAGAAGUUAUUUACUCCCUAGAGUUGUUGUGAGGAUUAAUUGAAUGAAUCCCCAGAACCCCUCAGAAUAGUGCCUGGCAGCACCGACUCAAUGGAUAUGAGUUUGAGUAAACUCCGGGAGUUGGUGAUGGACAGGGAAGGCUGGCGUGCUGCAGUCCAUGAGGUCGCAAAGAGUGGGACACGACUGAGCGACUGAACAACGAAGUGCCUUGUACUUAGUAAGCGCUUGGCAGAGUAAGAUCGCUAAAGCCAUCGUUCUCUUUCACCGCUCCCUUCUCCCCAGCCUCUCAUCGCCUGGCUCGUGCUCGACCUGCCAGCCUCCCUGGCUACCUAGGCCCAAGGUCAGCGUUCUGGCCCCGCCCCUAGCUUGGCCCAGAGGGAGGAUUGGCCGCUGGUUCUCUCAUCUCCGCUGGGCCCGGCCAUCACUCAGUCUCGCCUGCGCCACGCCCCUGCUUUUGUAUUAUGUCCACCAGAGCCCUUUCUGCUCUGGAGGGUCCUCCGCUUCGGCCUGACCCAGCCUUGCUUUCCGUCCGCUGCAGCAGGAGACGCUGUCCCUGGAGCCCAGGACUCAGGGUCCAGAGAAGUGAGACUUCCUUUCCAGGACCCUAAUUCCCCCAGGAUCCUCCCUCCUUUGGGGGCCUCUGCUUCCAGCUAGGAGUCAAGGCUACGGUACCUUGGCCAGCGGCCCCAAGUGCCACCUCCCCACGGACGCCUUGUCCCCACCCCCUCUGUGCAGUGUCUCCUCAUUACGUGCCGAUGUUCUGGGGGCCAAGGUGGAUAUGAAGGAGUGAAGGGACCUAACCUCUCCAACUGAAUGGUUACCAGUUGGCAAGGGAGAACUCAUGGGA
ensembl:lncRNA